GCUGUUGUUGACUUCUGAAAGCCUUUUGGAAAAAGACAUCCAAAAUUGAAGGUACUCGAUUCGUAAUCGAGCGGUCGCGGGUUCAAAUCCCGCCAUCGGCU
rnacentral:tRNA from 1 species